GGAGUUGUAGCUCAGUGGUUGAGCACUUGCCUCACAAGUGUGAGGCACUGGGUUCAAUCCUAGCACCA
rnacentral:tRNA from 1 species